rnacentral:rRNA from 1 species
UACGAAGGGGGCUAGCGUUGUUCGGAAUUACUGGGCGUAAAGCGCGCGCAGGCGGCUAUCCAAGUCAGUGGUGAAAGCCCGGAGCUCAACUCCGGAACUGCCAUUGAAACUGUUUAGCUUGAGGACGAGAGAGGUGAGUGGAAUUCCCAGUGUAGAGGUGAAAUUCGUAGAUAUUGGGAAGAACACCGGUGGCGAAGGCGGCCAACUGGACCAUUUCUGACGCUGAGGCGCGAAAGCGUGGGGAGCAAACAGG